UACAGAGGGGCAAGCGUUGUUCGGAAUUACUGGGCGUAAAGGGCGCGUAGGCGGCCUUCUAAGUCGAACGUGAAAUCCCCGGGCUCAACCCGGGAACUGCGUCCGAUACUGGAAGGCUUGAAUCCGGGAGAGGGAUGUGGAAUUCCAGGUGUAGCGGUGAAAUGCGUAGAUAUCUGGAGGAACACCGGUGGCGAAGGCGGAACAUCCUGGACCGGUAUUGACGCUGAGGCGCGAAAGCCAGGGGAGCAAACGGGG
rnacentral:rRNA from 1 species